CUGGCUCACUGGUUUUUGGGAUGGUCAAAUAUGCUCCUGUUUUUGAGCCAUAUUUUAAUCUCUACAGGUAUAAAAACACUUGCUUUAGUCCCCUGGAGAGUUUCACCAGCUUGAUUACAUGCUACAUGUGGCUUGACAGUGUAGAUGCAGCAUUACCAAGAGACUGAGCAGGGUUGUAUCAGAGUCACCUCUUUCAUCUGUAAAGGGUAAGUCUGUGACUACCCCUGCUGGGGCUGCUGUGUGUGCAUGUCUUUUUGGCAUUUGUGGAGCUUGGUUGUUUUUUUUUUUUGUGUGUGUGUGUGUAUGUUCUAAGUUUUUGUUUUUUUUUGAGGGGCAAAUCGUGUGUGUGCUGAGCAUGGUUGGCAGGAGGAGGUGGGGAGCUGCUCAGGACUGGUAGGUUUGGUUUCUAGGGGUGUGCGGCAGCCUUCCUGUGCAAUGCGACUGAUUGUUGGGCUGGAACGUUCCAGCUUUUGUGUGUCUUAAGCAAUGUAGCUUGUGUAGUGUGUGUUGUGUGGCCUGGGCAGAGUUUGCAGUGGUGCUGUGGGCGAAGAAUCUCAGUUAGAGCUGCUGAGCAGCUGAAGUACCGGAGCUGGGAAGAGAGAGGUCUUGCAGCAGGUACGCUGUGGCUGUGAGGUGCCUCAGAGUGUGCGUUUCUCUUGUCUCUGCAGGUGCUUUGUGCAGUUGUGGAGAGGGAAGGGAAAUCCUCAUGUCACGAAGCUCUGAGGGAAGGUGAGUGGUGUCAGCCAUGUCAUCGCUUAUCCGAAGCAAAGGGAAGACGCUCAGGUGUUUCCCUGUGAGGGUCCGAGGUGAGGCUGUUUGGGAUAGAGGAGCAGUGUGGCAGGUGGGUGCUUGCAAGCACAGUGGUUGUUUUGUCCUUUUGUGUUCCCAGGUGGCGUGGAUGACGCUGGCCGCUCCUUUCAAGCUUGGACCUAAUUUGCAGGUCCAGAGGCAAGUGGAGUGCUGUUUUGAAAGGAUAAAAGCUGAAAUGCAGUGUGUAGUGCGCAGUGCAGGAUGUCUCAACCCGAGCUGCCUCUGCAGUGACUCUGAGUAAAAUUCCAGUUUGCCUUUUAGAGGCGCUAUAAGUGGCGAAAGAGAACAGAUGGAAGCAUCUGCCGUGUGGGGCAGGCAGGCGGCUGAGGUACAGGAGGGGAUGAGAGUAUGUGCUUUUUCCUUUGGGUGGAAUGGAAUUGAUUUUGUUGGUGUAUAAUCUGUUCUGCUCCUGGGUUUUUCUUUCUAAGUUUAAAAAAAAACAUAAGUUUGAGCUAAUUCCAGUUAAGAAAGUUCCAGUUACUUGCUGAGUCGUAUUGUCCUCUUAAUAUUCAAAGCUGCAGCAAAAGCAUAGGGAUUGUUGCUUCUAGAAACACCCCAGUUCUCUUGUUUGUGCUCUGCAUGCUGUUGAGCUAAGGCAGAGUUAAAAAAAAAUAAUACAGGAAACACACACAAAAAACAAAAACAACAACAAAAAACACCAUUGGCUGACUUGUUGUGAACACAUCGAUCAUUUAAUUCCUUUGUUUUCCCGGGUGGUGUGGAUGAUACUGGCUGCACUGUUGGAGCUUGGACUCGGAGAGGAACACAUGAGCACAAUCGUAUGUUGCAUCAGUAGUAGUCAGCAUUGUGGAGAAGGUGAGCAAUGGGGCUGGCGUCCUAGUGAAUGCUGUUUCUCUGUUUUUGCAGCUGAUGAUGAGCCUGGCAAUUGACUAAGAUGACAAUCAGUGCCUGUGCAUUUCUUGAGGCAGAGAAACUUU
rnacentral:lncRNA from 1 species